rnacentral:misc_RNA from 1 species
UUUUUUUUUUUUUUUUAUGUAUGUUACAUCAGAACUUUUGACCGGGUAGACCGAUUUCGACAAAUUUUGUUUUAAUCGAAAGGUGGUGUGUGCCAAUUGGUCCCAUUUAAAUUUAUUUGAGAUCUAACAACUACUUUUCGAGUUAUAUCUAAUAAUGCGUUUUUACUUGACGCUUUUUUCGUCGACCUACGUUGUAUUAUACCGUAUAACUUUCUACUGGAUGUACCGAUUUUGAUAAUUCUUUUUUUGUUGGAAAGAAGAUAUCCCUAGUUUAGUACCAUGAUAAGGAAACCAGGAUCUGAUGAUGGGAUCCCAGAGAAAUCGAGGGAAACUCUUGAAAAUCCGCAAUAACUUUUUACUGGGUGUACCGAUUUUGAUAAUUCUUUUUUUGUUGGAAAGAAGAUAUUUCUAGUUUAGUACCAUGAUAAGGAAACCAGAAUCUGAUGAUGGGAUCCCAGAGAAAUCGAGGGAAACUCUUGGAAAUCCGCAAUAACUUUUUACUGGGUGUACCGAUAUUAAUAAUUUUUAAUUUAAUCGAAAGCUGAUGUUUGUAAUGUGGUCACAUAUAAAUUUUAUUGAGAUCUGAUAACUACUUUUUGAGUAAUCUUUGAUAACGCUUAGUUACUUGACUAUUUUUUCGUCGAUCUACGUUGUAUUACUCGUCGAUGUAAUUGAAGUCGGUUUUUUUUUUCGUUUGCGAGCAAACACAAUUAUUUUUGUGUAUGUUACAUCAGAACUUUUGACCGCGUAGACCGAUUUCGACAAAUUUUGUUUUAAUCGAAAGGUGGUGUGUGCCAAUUGGUCCCAUUUAAAUUUAUUUGAGAUCUAACAACUACUUUUCGAGUUAUAUCUAAUAAUGCGUUUUUACUUGACGCUUUUUUCGCCGACCUACGUUGUAUUAUACCGCAUAACUUUCUACUGGAUGUACCGAUUUUGAUAAUUCUUUUUUUGUUGGAAA